rnacentral:lncRNA from 1 species
AGGAAGUGCCCUUGAGAUAUCUGAGGAUAUGAAGGGCAGCAUGCAUAUGAGGGACUCUGGGACAUUUCAGAAAUUGACUCAGAUGCUUAACAGCAAAACAGAUGUCAGGCCUAGUGUGAGUCAAAAAUAGGAGUUUACCAACAAGGCUCCUAUAUUGAUCAGGGGAGGUAGAUGUCAGGCCUAGUGUGAGUCAAAAAUAAGAGUUUACCAACAAGACUCCUAUAUUGAUCAGGGGAGGAGAAAGGAUCACCAGAAUCAGCAUGAAGUUUGACAUUAAUAUCCAAAGGACUAACAACA